UACGUAGGGGGCAAGCGUUGUUCGGAAUUACUGGGCGUAAAGGGCGCGUAGGCGGCACAGCAAGUCGGGAGUGAAAGCCCGGGGCUCAACCCCGGGACUGCUUUCGAAACUGCAGGGCUAGAGUCCUGGAGAGGAAGGUGGAAUGCUUGGUGUAGAGGUGAAAUUCGUAGAUAUCAAGCGGAACACCGGUGGCGAAGGCGGCCUUCUGGACAGUGACUGACGCUGAGACGGCGAAAGCCGUGGGGAGCAAACAGGAU
rnacentral:rRNA from 1 species